CCUGGUGGCUCAGAUGGUAAAGCAUCUGCCUGCAAUGCGGGAGACCAGGGUUCAAUCCCUGGGUCAGGA
rnacentral:tRNA from 1 species